rnacentral:rRNA from 1 species
UACGGGGGGAGCAAGCGUUGUUCGGAUUUACUGGGCGUAAAGGGCGCGUAGGCGGUCAGCACAAGUCAGUUGUGAAAUCUCCGGGCUUAACUCGGAAAGGUCAACUGAUACUGUGCGACUAGAGUGCAGAAGGGGCAACUGGAAUUCUCGGUGUAGCGGUGAAAUGCGCAGAUAUCAGGAGGAACACCGGUGGCGAAGGCGGAUCUCUGGGCCAUUACUGACGCUGAGGAGCGAAAGCGUGGGGAGCGAACAGG